rnacentral:misc_RNA from 1 species
AACGCACCUUGCACUCCGUAGUUUACUACGGAGUACGCCCGUUCGAGUGUCACGUUAACCAUCGCAAAGGGAUUAUUCUCUGAGCGGAUCUGGGUGUUGCCGUAGAGGCUCGCCUUAAAUGCAUUAGCGAGGGUGUAAACCUACGGCGUGAUAACGUCUCGUCCUUACGGUGUAAGCACUCGCUCCUAAUCGCCCUCGGGCAAUUAUCUAGCUUUGACCUCGAAUCGGGUGGGACUACCCGCUGAACUUAA